GGGCAAACUUUGAGCCUCCAAUUCUUCUAAACUUGACACUUCUGUUUUCUGUUGUUUUUUCGGUACUGUCAUCAUCUUUUUCUCUUUUUGGUUCUCUUCAGGUUUAUGCUUCUAACCAUUCCUAUUCAUCCUCUCUUAUACUCUGUUCUCCUUGACCGUGCAGGACUACCCCCGUUGUGCAUAGCUUGAGGUGCAUCCAAGAAACAGUCCCUGAACAUGCAUGGUUCAUCCAGGAUCUUCCUUGUCUCUAUCAAUGUGGUUGUGGAGUAGGGUUUUUGGAAAUGGCCGUAUUAUGUCUGUGCUAAGGUGAAUCGUCUGGUGAUCUGCAAGCAUGUAGCUGCAGCAAUCGGUAAACUGAGCCUUCUCUGGUCCUCGAUCUGAAACUCACCUUUUUGAAUUUUUUUUUCCCCAUGUUUUCUUGUAGUAAAAAAUUUAUUCCAAGGCCUUGUGCUUGUGUGGCAUGGAGGGGGCUCAGUGGAAAUUGUACAAUGCAGAUGUUGUAAUCAAGGUUGAAGUUGACGUUGCAAUCAAGGUUUGGGAGAUAAUGGAACUCCAGUUUAUUUUUUGAAGAAGUAUGUAUGGUGGUAGUUCUUAUGAGAUUGUUUCUGAGGCUAAAUCCAGACCUUUUAAUUAUUGAUGGAUGAAGGUGAAGACUCUUGAAGGAUGUUGCAAUCAAGGGUUGGGAGAUGAUGGAGCCCCAAUAUUAUUUUGUAAAAGUAUGGAUGGUGGAUAAAAGGCCUAUAAAUAAAAAAAUUAUGGGAUGAUCAGGUCUAUUAUAUCAUUUUUGGAUCAGUUCAAUCACAAUUUGACGCAUCUAAAGCAAAUGAUGAGGAGAAAACAACUAUGUGAGUACACUUUUGCCAGCAUCCUCAUCGAUCUGCCUUCCCUUUGCUGGAGCUCAGGCUCUCUCUAACUAGAGCUACUUGGCAGCACCAUUGCGCUUCUUUCCAAUCGGAUGCUUUGCCUCGAGCUCGUUGAACCACCAUCGGAAGUUUGGAACGAGAUGGGGGUAAGCAACCUCCUCAUUUGUCCCUUUCUCAGCCCAUCCUCAUGGCUUGGCCCCAUGCUCCUUAUCUUCAACCUCUACUCUCUAAGACAACAGAGGUGGAAAUAAACAAACAUCGGAUCCUAGAACGCGAAAGCAAGAAAGAAGUGAAUUCAAAGGCUAUUAUUGAAUUGAGAAGUUUUCCAAUGCCGCCACCAUGGCUACAGCCUUGAAGAGAUGAGCAAGGGAGAGGAAUGGUAGAGGGAGAACAAGAAGGGAAUAGUAUUAUUCCUGCCUUGAAUUAAGAGAAGGGGAUAUGGUGGUGGAGAAGAAAGUAAGGAAGAGAGAAUAGUAGAUGAGGAAGAAAAUAGGAUAAAGCUUGCUUUUUCCUUCAUUUCCGUUUGAUUUUCCCAGUCUCCACGGUAUCUCUGCCCUCCCUUCCAUCUCACUAAAUGGAAAUUGACAUAUAAUUAAAAAAAAAUAUCGUAAAAUCUAAAUAAUAAAUAACCCAUCAACCUCCUUGAGAUGUGUUGCUCUCUCUUGGUGAUGGUCAUGAUCUGGCGGCCGAGUGUAGCGGCACCUAUCCCACUUCAUCCUUGCUGUUAACUUGCCUUGGGGUGGCUGGAGGAUGCAAGGAGGAACCAGCCAUGGAUGCGGUAAUGCGGCUGAGGGACUGAUUGUUCUCAUUCCAUUUGGAUCAAACCCAGCAGAAAGCUUCCUUGGGGAGGGAAGAGAAGUGGGAGGUGUCCCCUUUCCCGGCAGCUCGGAAUAGAUCCUCUUGCUUUGGGGCAUCAAUCUCCAUCGCCCCCAUCACUGUUGAUGGAGAAGCCCUGGGAAUGGUUGCAAUGGCUUGGGCGAUUGAUUCCAUUUGCAUUGGCGAUUUUUUCCCUUCAUUAAGUUUGCAUCGUAUCAAAGUCUUGAUUGAACUGGUCCAAAAAUGAUAUGAUGGAUUUGGUUUCACUUAUAAUUUUUCCUAUAAAUGGCUUGCAUUGUCUAUGUAUUGUGGACAGGACUUACCUUUGGUUUGAGGGCAUAUGCCUCAAAAAGUUCUAUUGAAAUGUGAUUGACACGUAUUUUUCUUG